AUUGAACGCUGGCGGCAUGCCUUACACAUGCAAGUCGAACGGUAACAGGUCUUCGGAUGCUGACGAGUGGCGAACGGGUGAGUAAUACAUCGGAACGUGCCUAGUAGUGGGGGAUAACUACUCGAAAGAGUGGCUAAUACCGCAUGAGAUCUACGGAUGAAAGCAGGGGAUCGCAAGACCUUGUGCUACUAGAGCGGCCGAUGGCAGAUUAGGUAGUUGGUGGGAUAAAAGCUUACCAAGCCGACGGUCUGUAGCUGGUCUGAGAGGACGAUCAGCCACACUGGGACUGAGACACGGACCAGACUGCGACGGGAGGAAGCAGGGGGGAAUUUUGGAGAAUGGGCGCAAGCCUGAUCCAGCAAUGCCGCGUGCAGGAUGAAGGCCUUCGGGUUGGAAACUGCUUUUGUACGGAACGAAAAGCCCUGGGUUAAUACCCUGGGGUCAUGACGGUACCGUAAGAAUAAGCACCGGCUAACUACGUGCCAGCAGCCGCUGUAAUAC
rnacentral:rRNA from 1 species